AGAGAGUUAUAAAAAGAGAAAAAAUGCAAAAAGAUUGUGAUAUUGAUUGCAAGGUAAGGUAAGAAAUCAAGGAAGGAAGCUGGUGGGAGCAGACAACAAGAUCGGCAAUCAAGGAAGGAAGCUGGUGGGAGCAAACGACAAGCUCUCAUUGCUUCUAGUUUAGAAGAACUUCCGGAGAUUAGAGCAUAAGGUUGCCUUCACAGUUCCCUGAUAUAGUGGAAACAUGAUCAGGGAUAGUCUUGCUUCCUGAAUGGAUGAUCAGAGAUAGUCUUGCUUCUCG
rnacentral:lncRNA from 1 species